rnacentral:rRNA from 1 species
AGAGUUUGAUCCUGGCUCAGGACGAACGCUGGCGGCGUGCCUAAUACAUGCAAGUCGAGCGAGCUGAAUUCACAGAUUCCUUCGGGAUGACGUGUUGGACGCUAGCGGCGGAUGGGUGAGUAACACGUGGGCAAUCUGCCCUAAAGACUGGGAUACCACUUGGAAACAGGUGCUAAUACCGGAUAACAAUGAUGGUUGCAUGACCAUUAUUUGAAAGGCGGCGCAAGCUGUCACUUUAGGAUGAGCCCGCGGUGCAUUAGCUAGUUGGUGAGGUAACGGCUCACCAAGGCCAUGAUGCAUAGCCGAGUUGAGAGACUGAUCGGCCACAUUGGGACUGAGACACGGCCCAAACUCCUACGGGAGGCAGCAGUAGGGAAUCUUCCACAAUGGACGCAAGUCUGAUGGAGCAACGCCGCGUGAGUGAAGAAGGUUUUCGGAUCGUAAAGCUCUGUUGUUGGUGAAGAAGGAUAGAGGUAGCAACUGGCCUUUAUUUGACGGUAAUCAACCAGAAAGUCACGGCUAACUACGUGCCAGCAGCCGCGGUAAUACGUAGGUGGCAAGCGUUGUCCGGAUUUAUUGGGCGUAAAGCGAGCGCAGGCGGAAUGAUAAGUCUGAUGUGAAAGCCCACGGCUCAACCGUGGAACUGCAUCGGAAACUGUCAUUCUUGAGUGCAGAAGAGGAGAGUGGAACUCCAUGUGUAGCGGUGGAAUGCGUAGAUAUAUGGAAGAACACCAGUGGCGAAGGCGGCUCUCUGGUCUGCAACUGACGCUGAGGCUCGAAAGCAUGGGUAGCGAACAGGAUUAGAUACCCUGGUAGUCC